AACAUAGAAGUAAAAUUUACAAUUAGUUUCGACCUAAAAUUAAAGGAAAAUGACCUUCAUGUUU
rnacentral:tRNA from 1 species